rnacentral:rRNA from 1 species
CCUACGGGUGGCAGCAGUGGGGAAUAUUGGACAAUGGGGGCAACCCUGAUCCAGCCAUGCCGCGUGUGUGAAGAAGGCCCUCGGGUUGUAAAGCACUUUCAGUGAGGAAGAACGCCUGGUGGUUAAUACCCAUCAGGAAAGACAUCACUCACAGAAGAAGCACCGGCUAACUCCGUGCCAGCAGCCGCGGUAAUACGGAGGGUGCGAGCGUUAAUCGGAAUUACUGGGCGUAAAGCGCGCGUAGGUGGCUUGAUAAGCCGGUUGUGAAAGCCCCGGGCUCAACCUGGGAACGGCAUCCGGAACUGUCAAGCUAGAGUGCAGGAGAGGAAGGUAGAAUUCCCGGUGUAGCGGUGAAAUGCGUAGAGAUCGGGAGGAAUACCAGUGGCGAAGGCGGCCUUCUGGACUGACACUGGCACUGAGGUGCGAAAGCGUGGGUAGCAAACAGGAUUAGAUACCCGGGUAGUC